AUAUUUACCUGGCAGGAGAGAUAUACCGUGAUCACAAAAGUGGUUUCCCCAUGGUAAGACUUAUUCACGGCACAUUUGUGGAUGUGCUGACCCCUGGGAUUUCUAUAAAUGCAGGAAUCUUGACUGCAUGAA
rnacentral:snRNA from 1 species